rnacentral:rRNA from 1 species
AUACGUAGGUGGCAAGCGUUGUCCGGAAUUAUUGGGCGUAAAGCGCGCGCAGGUGGUUCCUUAAGUCUGAUGUGAAAGCCCCCGGCUCAACCGGGGAGGGUCAUUGGAAACUGGGGAACUUGAGUGCAGAAGAGGAUAGUGGAAUUCCAAGUGUAGCGGUGAAAUGCGUAGAGAUUUGGAGGAACACCAGUGGCGAAGGCGACUGUCUGGUCUGUAACUGACACUGAGGCGCGAAAGCGUGGGGAGCAAACAGGAUUAGAUACCCUGGUAGUCCACGCCGUAAACGAUGAGUGCUAAGUGUUGGGGGGUCUCCGCCCCUCAGUGCUGCAGCUAACGCAUUAAGCACUCCGCCUGGGGAGUACGGUCGCAAGACUGAAACUCAAAGGAAUUGGCGGGG